rnacentral:lncRNA from 1 species
CUGGGGAUCAUCUGGUUAUUUUGUUGAUGUUGUUUUAAGAUAUGUUUCAUAUUCUCCCUUCACACAUAUUAUGCAUAUCAUGAGUGGGGCCCUAUACCCGGGUCUGAGCGCAACUUAGAAUUAGAGGAGUUGUGUAGCGGUGUCACUCUGGGAUGUACUUCCUGUCUGGCUAUCGUGAGAACUCCAACCAGAGUCUGUUCUUUUCAUUUGUGUCUCCACACCUAGUUGAUUACUCUGACUGUUGUGGAGAUGCAGUGGAUAGAGCCAUAGCUCUGGUGGCCUUGAUAUUUAAGUAUUAGGGAGCUAUCCUUGUGAGUGCAUGUAUUUGGCUAUAGAACUUUAAACACCCAACCUUUGAUAGGGCAUAAUGGGAGAUGUGUGUAGUCAAGGGGCAAUCUUUUUGCAACUUUAUAAUUUUUGGCUAGAAUAGUUGUCUGUUCUUUUCCUUCAUUUUUAUUUUCUUGAUUCAUUUCAUCUAAUAAAAUUAAAAAAAAAACAAAAUUGAAAAAAAAAAAAAUAAGAUAAAGGCAAUCUUGAGUCACUUGUCUUUCUUGCGAAUCCUCAAACUCAUGUUUUUCGAAAAUAGUAAAAAAAUGAUGAUAAGCCAAAAAAAUAGAGUUACAGAGUCAGACUUUUCCGAGGUCAAAAAUUUAAUCAAAAAUAACAUUUUGACAUUUUUCUCAAGAUUUUGUGCAUGUUGCUUGAAAGCCUUCACCCUUCACUUUGC